UGGGCGCGGCUUUGCUCGCGGCUUAUUUUUGGCACCCCGAGGCCCCUCGCAAAGUCUCGCCGCAUUCCGAGUCCGGCGGACGAACGUCGCCCGCGCCCCCCACCAAGGCUAUAGCCCACCCGUUUUUUGGCCUUUUUUCCGCUGGGGGGUUUUGGCACCACGACCUUCGGGCGCUUAUGUUUGGGCGCGGCUUUGCCCGCGGCUUAUUUUUGGCACCCCGAGGCCCCUCGCAAAGUCUCGCCGCAUUCCGAGUCCGGCGGACGAACUUCGCCCGCGCCCCCCACCAAGGCUAUAGCCCACCCGUUUUUUGGCCAUUUUUCCGCUGGGGGGUUUUGGCACCACGACCUUCGGGCGCUUAUUUUUGGGCGCGGCUUUGCCCGCGGCUUAUUUUUGGCACCCCGAGGCCCCUCGCAAAGUCUCGCCGCAUUCCGAGUCCGGCGGACGAACUUCGCCCGCGCCCCCCACCAAGGCUAUAGCCCACCCUGUUUUUGGCCAUUUUUCCGCUGGGGGGUUUUGGCACCACGACCUUCGGGCGCUUAUGUUUGGGCGCGGCUUUGCCCGCGGCUUAUUUUUGGCGCCCCGAGGCCCUGUGCAAAGUCUCGCCCCAUGCCGAGUCCGGCGGACGAACUUCGCCCGCGCCCCCCACCAAGGCUAUAGCCCACCCGUUUUUUGGCCAUUUUUCCGCUGGGGGGUUUUGGCACCACGACCUUCGGGCGCUUAUUUUUGGGCGCGGCAUUGCCCACGGCUUAUUUUUGGUGCCCCGAGGCCCCUCGUAAUGUCUCGUCCCAUUCCGAGUCCGGCGGACGAACUUCGCCCGCGCCCCCCACCAAGGCUAUAGCCCACCCGUUUUUUGGCCAUUUUUCCGCUGGGGGGUUUUGGCACCACGACCUUCGGGCGCUUAUUUUUGGGCGCGGCUUUGCCCCCGGCUUAUUUUUGGCGCCCCGAGGCCCCGCGCAAAGUCUCGCCCCAUUCCGAGUCCGGCGGACGAACUUCGCCCGCGCCCCCCACCAAGGCUAUAGCCCACCCGUUUUUUGGCCAUUUUUCCGCUGGGGGGUUUUGGCACCACGACCUUCGGGCGCUUAUUUUUGGGCGCGGCUUUGCCCGCGGCUUAUUUUUGGCACCCCGAGGCACCUCGCAAAGUCUCGCCCCAUUCCAAGUCCGGCGGACGAACUUCGCCCUCGCCCCCCACCAAGGCUAUAGCCCACCCGUUUUUUGGCCAUUUUUCCGCUGGGGGGUUUUGGCACCACGACCUUCGGGCGCUUAUUUUUGGGCGCGGCUUUGCCCCCGGCUUAUUUUUGGCGCCCCGAGGCCCCGCGCAAAGUCUCGCCCCAUUCCGAGUCCGGCGGACGAACUUCGCCCGCGCCCCCCACCAAGGCUAUAGCCCACCCGUUUUUUGGCCAUUUUUCCGCUGGGGGGUUUUGGCACCACGACCUUUGGGCGCGGCUUUGCCCGCGGCUUAUUUUUGGCACCCCGAGGCCCCUCGCAAAGUCUCGCCCCAUUCCGAGUCCGGCGGACGAACUUCGCCCGUGCCCCCCACCAAGGCUAUAGCCCACCCGUUUUUUGGCCAUUUUUCCGCUGGGGGGUUUUGGCACCACGACCUUCGGGCGCUUAUUUUUGGGCGCGGCUUUGCCCGCGGCUUAUUUUUGGCACCCCGAGGCACCUCGCAAAGUCUCGCCCCAUUCCAAGUCCGGCGGACGAACUUCGCCCUCGCCCCCCACCAAGGCUAUAGCCCACCCGUUUUUUGGCCAUUUUUCCGCUGGGGGGUUUUGGCACCACGACAUUCGGGCACUUAUUUUUGGGCGCGGCUUUGCCCGCGGCUUAUUUUUGGCGCCCCAAGGCCCCGCGCAAAGUCUCGCCCCAUUCCGAGUCCGGCGGACGAACUUCGCCCGCGCCCCCCACCAAGGCUAUAGCCCACCCGUUUUUUGGCCAUUUUUCCGCUGGGGGGUUUUGGCACCACGACCUUCGGGCGCUUAUUUUUGGACGCGGCUUUGACCGCGGCUUAUUUUUGGCGCCCCGAGGCCCCGCGCAAAGUCUGGCCCCAUUCCGAGUCCGACGGACGAACUUCGCCCGCGCUUCCCCCAAGGCUAUAGCCCACCCGUUUUUUGGCCAUUUUUCCGCUGGGGGGUUUUGGCACCACGACCUUCGGGAGCUUAUUUUUGGGCGCGGCUUUGCCCGCGGCUUAUUUUUGGCGCUCCGAGGCCCCUCACAAAGUCUCGCCCCAUUCCGAGUCCGGCGGACGAACUUCGCCCGUGCCCCCCACCAAGGCUAUAGCCCACCCGUUUUUUGGCCAUUUUUCCGCUGGGGGGUUUUGGCACCACGACCUUCGGGAGCUUAUUUUUGGGCGCGGCUUUGCCCGCGGCUUAUUUUUGGCGCUCCGAGGCCCCUCGCAAAGUCUCGCCCCAUUCCGAGUCCGGCGGACGAACUUCGCCCGCGCGCCCCACCAAGGCUAUAACCCACCCGUUUUUUGGCCAUUUUUCCGCUGGGGGGUUUUGGCACCACGACAUUCGGGCACUUAUUUUUGGGCGCGGCUUUGCCCGCGGCUUAUUUUUGGCGCCCCAAGGCCCCGCGCAAAGUCUCGCCCCAUUCCGAGUCCGGCGGACGAACUUCGCCCGCGCCCCCCACCAAGGCUAUAGCCCACCCGUUUUUUGGCCAUUUUUCCACUGGGGGGUUUUGGCACCACGACCUUCGGGCGCUUAUUUUUGGACGCGGCUGUGCCCGCGACUUCCCGCGGGCACCCCGAGGCCCCUCGCAAAGUCUCGCCCCAUUCCGAGUCCGGCGGACGAACUUCGCCCGCGCCCCCCACCAAGGCUAUAGCCCACCCGUUUUUUGGCCAUUUUUCCGCUGGGGGGUUUUGGCACCACUACCUUCGGGCGCUUAUUUUUGGGCGCGGCUUUGCCCGCGGCUUAUUUUUGGCGCCCCGAGGCCCCUCGCAAAGUAUCGCCCCAUUCCGAGUCCGGCGGACGAACUUCGCCCGCGCCCGCCACCAAGGCUAUAGCCCACCCGUUUUUUGGCCAUUUUUCCGCUGGGGGGUUUUGGCACCACGACCUUCGGGCGCUUAUUUUUGGGCGCGGCUUUGCCCGCGGCUUAUUUUUGGCACCCCGAGGCACCUCGCAAAGUCUCGCCCCAUUCCGAGUCCGGCGGACGAACUUCGCCCGCGCCCCCCACCAAGGCUAUAGCCCACCCGUUUUUUGGCCAUUUUUCCGCUGGGGGGUUUUGGCACCACGACCUUCGGGCGCUUAUUUUUGGGCGCGGCUUUGCCCGCGGCUUAUUUUUGGUGCCCCGAGGCCCCUCGCAAAGUCUCGCCCCAUUCCGAGUCCGGCGGACGAGUUUCGCCCGCGCCCCCCACCAAGGCUAUAGCCCACCCUUUUUUUGGCCAAUUUUCCGCUGGGGGGUUUUGGCACCACGACCUUCGGGCGCUUAUUUUUGGGCGCGGCUUUGCCCGCGGCUUAUUUUUGGCACCCCGAGGCCCCUCGCAAAGUCUCGCCCCAUUCCGAGUCCGGCGAACGAACUUCGCCCGCGCCCCCCACCAAGGCUAUAGCCCACCCGUUUUUUGGCCAUUUUUCCGCUGGGGGGUUUUGGCACCACGACCUUCGGGCGCUUAUUUUUGGACGCGGCUGUGCCCGCGACUUCCCGCGUGCACCCCGAGGCCCCUCGCAAAGUCUCGCCCCAUUCCGAGUCCGGCGGACGAACUUCGCCCGCGCCCCCCACCAAGGCUAUAGCCCACCCGUUUUUUGGCCAUUUUUCCGCUGGGGGGUUUUGGCACCACGACCUUCGGGCGCUUAUUUUUGGACGCGGCUGUGCCCGCGACUUCCCGCGGGCACCCCGAGGCCCCUCGCAAAGUCUCGCCCCAUUCCGAGUCCGGCGGACGAACUUCGCCCGCGCCCCCCACCAAGGCUAUAGCCCACCCGUUUUUUGGCCAUUUUUCCGCUGGGGGGUUUUGGCACCACGACCUUCGUGCGCUUAUUUUUGGACGCGGCUGUGCCCGCGACUUCCCGCGGGCACCCCGAGGCCCCUCGCAAAGUCUCGCCCCAUUCCGAGUCCGGCAGACGAACUUCGCCCGCGCCCCCCACCAAGGCUAUAGCCCACCCGUUUUUUGGCCAUUUUUCCGCUGGGGGGUUUUGGCACCACGACCUUCGGGCGCUUAUUUUUGGGCGCGGCUUUGACCGCGGCUUAUUUUUGGCGCCCCGAGGCCCCGCGCAAAGUCUGGCCCUAUUCCGAGUCCGACGGACGAACUUCGCCCGCGCCCCCCACCAAGGCUAUAGCCCACCCGUUUUUUGGCCAUUUUUCCGCUGGGGGGUUUUGGCACCACGACCUUCGGGCGCUUAUUUUUGGGCGCGGCUUUGCCCGCGGCUUAUUUUUGGCGCCCCGAGGCCCCUCGCAAAGUCUCGCCCCAUUCCGAGUCCGGCGGACGAACUUCGCCCGCGCCCCCCACCAAGGGUAUAGCCCACCCGUUUUUUGGCCAUUUUUCCGCUGGGGGGUUUUGGCAACACGACCUUCGGGCGCUUAUUUUUGGGCGCGGCUUUCUCCCCGGCUUAUUUUUGGCGCCCCGAGGCCCCGCGCAAAGUCUCGCCCCAUUCCGAGUCCGGCGGACGAACUUCGCCCGCGCCCCCCACCAAGGCUAUAGCCCACCCGUUUUUUGGCCAUUUUUCCGCUGGGGGGUUUUGGCACCACGACCUUUGGGCGCUUAUUUUUGGGCGCGGCUUUGCCCGCGGCUUAUUUUUGGCACCCCGAGGCCCCUCGCAAAGUCUCGCCGCAUUCCGAGUCCGGCGGACGAACUUCGCCCGCGCCCCCCACCAAGGCUAUAGCCCACCCGUUUUUUGGCCAUUUUUCCGCUGGGGGGUUUUGGCACCACGACCUUCGGGCGCUUAUUUUUGGGCGCGGCUUUGCCCGCGGCUUAUUUUUGGCACCCCGAGGCCCCUCGCAAAGUCUCGCCGCAUUCCGAGUCCGGCGGACGAACUUCGCCCGCGCCCCCCACCAAGGCUAUAGCCCACCCGUUUUUUGGCCAUUUUUCCGCUGGGGGGUUUUGGCACCACGACCUUCGGGCGCUUAUUUCUGGGCGCGGCUUUGCCCGCGGCUUAUUUUUGGCACCCCGAGGCCCCUCGCAACGUCUCGCCGCAUUCCGAGUCCGGCGGACGAACGUCGC
rnacentral:lncRNA from 1 species